rnacentral:lncRNA from 1 species
CUAGAGAAGUCACCAUGAUCAAUUAUGAAAAUUCAUAAAUAAAUUGAGGCUUGUAGAAAAUGCUAGUUUUUGAUAAAUACAAUCCCUAGUUUAUUUUAAAGAAAACCCAUCUCUUUUAAUUAUUUUGUAAAUUUUGUUGAUUAAUUUUAUGUUUAUAAAACACUUAUGUUUGCAAUGAAACUCUUAGUAAAAUUUAGCUUUGAGAAACGCGGUUUGUUUUCAAAAAUUCAACAUUUUGCUAAUAGAGUAAUUAUAAUUUAAAAUGAUUAAACGAUUCAAAAAAACAGAAAACCAAAAGUCCAAAACAAAAAUAAUCCCAAGAGUCCAAAAUAGUCCAACAGUAUCAAAAUAGAGUAAACAAAGUUUAAAGUAACACAAAUUAAAUGUGUUUAUCUGAGCUCCCGUCGCACCGACCCGUCCUAUGUCUAAGGAUUACCUGAGAAUCAAGCAAACAGAGAAUGAGCUUACAAGCAGUAUGUAACUUACUAUAAUUAAAAUAGUAGAUAAAAUUCAGAACAUGCAUUCAGAUACCAAUUAGACGAAUUUCAUAGACAGAAAUAGAAACAGAUGCAUAUCAGAUACAGAUACAGAUUAAUUUCCUACCCCCAUCUGCUACACACCAGCUCUGACCAUCCCUGCACACCAAUUAGGGUAUUAAAUACCCAAUUAGCCCUACACACCAAUUAGUGUCUGUAUGACACUUUUCAGAAUAUUUGUAGCCUAGCUACCAGAUCAAUAGGCGAUAUACUGCCAAAUAUGGAUAUACGUAGCUGAGCCACAAAAUUAGGCAGAUAAAUUAAACUAUCAGCAAUUCCUCCAUAAACAUAUUUCUCACCCCAAUGCAUAUGCAAAACUAGACAAUAUCACAUAUGUGCACGACAUGCAUGUUUUUCACAUCUGAUUAGAUCAUACCUAGCAUAUAACAGAACAUGCUAUCACAUAUAACAUACCACUCAUCCGUUUGCUAGUCAUAUUAAGCAAUAACAGAGUAUCAAAAAUCAUGGUUUAUAGGCAAUUUUAUACCAUAUGGGCCCUAUAGAAAGGUUAUAUUCGAUUCGCACGACAACCAGAACCCUAGGGAAAAUUUUCAGAAUUUAGGCCCACACGCCCGUGUGGCAUCGACAGUCUCAAUUUUGGCUUUCAGUCGUUCGCUAAUUUCUUGAGUUUUCGUUACACACUUCAUCUGAUUUUGAUUCGAUUGCAACCAUGAGAUUUCCAGAACCUAAAAAUAAUAAUUAAACCACCAAUUAAGACGAUUCCCACACCCAAUUCACAAAAAUUGAUAUAUCAAACAUCAAAUUUUAAACGAAGAAUUUCAACCUAAAACCCCAAUUUGACUCCUUAUCUUCAAGAAACAGCAGAACACCAAUGAUUCUAGGUUUCUGAAGAAUUAAUUGCCUUUCCAACUUCACCUAGAAAGUCAAACAAUUAAUCAUACAGAACAUAUUUAACCCACAACUAACAAAAAGAACAAUAAGAACAAACUCACUUAAUACAAGAGAAAACUUAAUGGCAGAUACACAAGUAAUUGAUUACGCUUAAUGGCAAUUGAUUUGCAGAAAGAAAAGGAAAAGAACAAAGUGUAGAACCGCACAAGAAAAAAAAGAAAAGAAACUAGCAAUUGGGAAAAAAUAAAAGUGGGAACUGAGGGAGAGGAAAGUGGAGAAUAAACAGAGGACACCUUACCACUAAACCAGCAGGCUCAUUUUAUCACAAGUUUAGUGGAAAUAGUAUUUAAGUCAAAUAAAAAGAGGUAGGGAUAGGACCUCAAACACACAUCCAAUGCAUUUAACCAUUGAACCAAAUCAAUUACUUAGACAAAAUUUAACAAAUCAAAACUUAGAUUUUGGGGGCAUUACAACACUUAUCAAGCAUUCCAUUUCAUAAUCAAUUCAAUGAAAUUCUAACAUGCCUCAUUUUCAUAAUAAUUUCUUAUGCAAUUUAACAUGUUACAAGAGGAAUUUUUCAAUACAUGUAUAACAAGCUCUCAACAGUACAUUCCAUGGCAUUUCACUUAAGCAUACAAUUCAACCAUUCAAUAGUUUUACUUUUGUAAUAUUAAUACAUGUUAUGCAUUCAACCAACAAUCAUUUUAUUUUCAAAUCAUCCAUGUUAUUUCAUACUGAUACCACUCGUAUAAAUAGUCAUUCAACCAUGCUAAUCUUGCACGAAUUCCAUUUAAUUAGGGCUUGAAAUGUACCUGAUUUAACCACCUUAAAAUUGUUUCCUUAGCCAUUUAAAAAGUCGUACCAACAAGGUUAAACAUCAAUUUAACCACUAAAAAUAUAAUUUAAACAGACAAGUUUACAGGUUAGAACACAAACCUUAAUUUCACAAAACCGCAGUACUACUUGUGAAAUCUACGCUUCCUUCACCAAACUUAAACGUACCUAAACCAAAAUCCAACUUUAAUAGAGUUAGGAUGUUGUCAAACCAGCCUUAAAACACCCUCUAAGGGUUUAGGCAAAUCAUUGUUACAAGGCCUUAAUUACAAAUCCAAAUCAGUUGAAUCAAUUACAAUGAUAUGGUGCGAAGCGAGAGCGUGGACGAAAAAUGGCUUCACUGCUGUUCUAGGAUGUUUAAAUCAAUGCCUAACACAUUAAAAUGCUAAAAAAUCAGUAGCUAAUCAUCCAUUUAAAACCUUAAAAUUAGUAGCUAAUCAAUAGUUGAUUAGGAUAGGAUAAAAUAGAUCUACCCUUGCCGGAAAAUACUCGAAAAAAUUGUGAAAAAUUAGCAGCUCUUAAUGGCAGAUCUAGGAGCAAAGCACCAGCAUAAUUGGCCACAUAGGGGCGGUUUUGCAAAACACCAAGGAGAUUUGUUUAAAAGCUGAUAAAGGAAUAUCUUUAGACUUGAAAAUUAGUAAAAAUAAAGGCUGAAAUAGUAGUGUAUUUUACUAAAUAAAUAACAUACUGUUGCUCAAUAAAAUGAAAAACUUUAGGGGUAACAACAACCACUGACGGUAGCAAUUUUUGGGAUAAUUUUGGCAAGUUCAAAAGGAAUGUUUUAGGGCUAGAAAUAAUUUUUUAAAAUUAGUAUAGAAAACAGAAAUUUUAAGAUAUGAUUUUGAAAACAAAACAAUAGGAAAAUGGUGUAGAAAAAUGAGAGAAUCAAGCACAUACUCUAGCAAGUUAAAGGGGCGAAAAUGGAGAUCUUUGUGGCAACAGUGGGAUCCAAUUUUUGAGUGGUUCAAGAGACUAAUUCAAGGUUGAAAAAAUAAUGAAAUAAAAUCGAAAGGGAGGAAGAAAAAUGACAAAAAUUAGCACCAGUGGAGAAGGGAAGGACGCCAAGGAAAAAUGAGUUUGGUGGGCGACACAAUGAAGGAGAAAAGAAGAAAAUUGAAAAAGGGAUAAAAGAGAAAAGGAAGGGGUGGCUAAGGUUGGAAAAAGGAUGACUAAAAGAUGAAAAAUAAAUGAAAAAGUGAUAUUUAUACCUAGAUUAACUAGGCAUGGGCAGCACAAAAAUAGGGGAAAGGAGGAAAAUUAGCAAAAGUAUGCUAUUUUGCAAGGGAAUAGAAUCAAACUUGAAUCCUU